UGGGGAAUAUUGGGCAAUGGGGGAAACCCUGACCCAGCAACGCCGCGUGAAGGAAGAAGGUCUUCGGAUUGUAAACUUCUUUGAUCAGGGACGAAGAAAUGACUGUACCUGAAGAACAAGUCACGGCUAACUACGUGCCAGCAGCCGCGGUAAUACGUAGGUGGCAAGCGUUAUCCGGAUUUACUGGGUGUAAAGGGCGUGUAGGCGGGUCUGCAAGUCAGAUGUGAAAUCUCCGGGCUUAACUCGGAAGUGUCAUCUGAAACUACGGAUCUUGAGUACUGGAGAGGAUAGUGGAAUUCCUAGUGUAGCGGUAAAAUGCGUAGAUAUUAGGAGGAACACCAGUGGCGAAGGCGGCUAUCUGGACAGUAACUGACGCUGAGGCGCGAAAGCGUGGGGAGCA
rnacentral:rRNA from 1 species